GGGCGAGUUCCAGCUUCGCCGACUCCACAUUUGUGACAGCUGUGGCUUUCAGAGGAGCUUCAGAGAGGACUCCAACUACCUCUCACUGAUCAGUCCUCAAAGAAUCCUCACUGACAACCUGCGGCAAUACUUCAAAGCAUCUUCAUUUGAAUGCUCCUGCAGUGAGUGUCUCAUCUGGGCAGCAGUUAGUAUUGUGGUAAGAGAUUCUUCCCGUUGUUUUAUUGACUUAGUCACUCAUUCAGCAUCAGACUAAAGUUGGUCUCUCCUGGAAUGCAGUGACACCAGUAUCAAAAGAACCAGAUGGUCAAAAUCAACCCUUAACUUUGUCCUAUAGUCCAGCCCUACUCAGUACCCAGCAAAUUCAGUUACAG